GGCGCAUUAGUGCAGCGGUUAGCACGCCGGCCUCUCACGCCGGUAGCACGGGUUCGAAUCCCGUAUGCGCUA
rnacentral:tRNA from 1 species